GCGCCGCUGUGGGAGCGCGAUCCCAAUCGCGGCCGCUGCCGGUGGCGGUGAGGCGGUGGGCGGGGAUAGGGCCGGCAGACGAGGAGGGGGCCUGCGGGGAGAGGAUAAGUGCGCGCGCAGAUCCCAUGGUCGUACCUCCCGCUCUACUGGUCGGCGUCGCCGGUGGAGAGCGGCCGUCGCCCAGGCGACCUCCUACUGUUGGACGAGGCGCUCUAGGAGGAGGCGGAGGGGGGCGUCGGCAGGAGGGAGGGCGCGCGGAGGCGACAGACGUUCGCGACCGCGACGGAGCGGAGGCUGGGGGCGAAGACGGCGGCGAAGGCGGCGGUGGUGGCGGUUUUGGGAGGGGAGGAACCGAAGAAGUUGUCUCUGUCGCUGGAGAAGGGGAAGCAUGGAUGAGAACUCGGGGGUUUAGCACAGAGCGGACCGGCGAAGAGGAACGUCGCGGCGCUUCCGCUGGCGAAGUAGAGGGAACCUACGGCGGUACCGGAGCACGAGUAGGUGUUGCGUACCGGCUUGUUCCAGGACCACACCCUGGGGCAGUGGCCGUUUGUCGUGGUGGAACGGUAGGGGGGACUCGAACACUAUGUACGCCUCUUGUGUCGGUAGUUACCCCGUCACGAAGCACGACGGCCUCUGUAGGUUGUCAAAGUACACCAGAACUGUCACCACCUGUUGCAGCUGUUCGUUUUCGUUGUGUUUGCUCGCGAGCGGACCGAAAUGAGAAGGCUCUGGUUGAAUACCCCACUAGAGCAGAGUUGUGGCCAAGGUAAGUUCCAAAGGUGGAGCCUAUAAAACCCACUACUUCUACUACAGUGGAACCACAAAUGCCCUUUCGGGCGACACUACCAAUCCCUAAGAGAAAUGACCUAAGAACGACCCUUAAAACAACCUUAAGAACUCAAACUAAACCUCUUCGUUUCGGAUCGACACUAUGCCCACGGUCGCGUAUACGAACUUUUACCCAAAAUGGUCAAGACCUAAUACGCCCGUCUCCCACCACCAGGACCAAAUGACAACGUCUUUCUAGUCUCGAAGGUCAAUACCUUCUCCUUCUGACUAGCACUACCACAACGAAGUACCCAAGAACCUUCUUGAUAACUAGACCUGUUCGAUGAAAGGGACUUACCUUUACCGUCGGUUCAGUAUGAUCCCAAGCGACUCCUCUUAUUACACCACAAACACACCUGUGUGCCACAGGAGAAAUACCAGUUAGAACUCAGAAACGUCAAGUUCUUUGAACCACUCUGGUCUUGGGAAAGAGUGAUAGUAGGUAAGCUUUCACAGAUGUGACGUCUUUGUUUGUAACCACCACCUGUACCAGUUCAACUAGAAAGUGUCGUGUAUUCUACUAAUAGAUCAAUCCAUACGAUGACACUACAUGAACAACUCGUCCAUUCGAAGACGUAGAUACAACUCCAUAGACUUGACAAGAAAUUUUUUUUAACGAAAGGAUAAAUGACGGUAAAGAGUUGAUGGUUUACCGUUCUCUCCUGAGAAAUUCUAAAAGAUAUGUUGAGAAACGAAUCGAUAACGGGUGGACCGGUGAGUAUAGUUACGAAAGGACCGUCCGACGUAGAAUCUAGAAAAGAGGUCCGGGACGAGGAGUGGGAGAAGUACGGAAGUAGUCGACAAGAGGUAAACGAAGGAGUACGGUAACGGGUGGAUGGAAGAGAUAAUAAACAACGAUGGUGGAGUGAUAACCUACUCCUUGGAAAGAACAGGUAGGUCGACGGAACGAAAGUAAAUGAAGGAGGAACCAUGAGGGGACCAAGGAUGACAAUCACGUUAAAGAAGAGGAGAUCAAGGAACCUACAGACUACUGACUCCUGGUAAGAGGAAAAACACGUAUAAAAUUCACCAUUGUAUUACUUUACGUAGGAGAAAACACAAGCAUUAAGUAAAAAAAUGAGCGGAAACUCAUCAAAAAGUACCGAUAUCUAGAUAGUUCAGGAUCACACUAAAUAUACAUCAACCAUUGACUGUUAUGGACUUGUGAACGAAGUAAGAAAGAAACAAUGUGUCUUAAUAUUGAUACGGUAAACUGUAAAGUGUAAUGACAAAUAAAACCUAGCAAUACGAUGGGCCACUUGAUAAAUAACAGUCCUCUGAGCUUCUCGUACGAAAGUAAUUAAAAAUUUCAUGUAAAAAAUAGGAAAAGGAAAGUCAAAAGAACCUACUAAUAAGAUCACAACCCGCCAAACGCAUUUAUAAAAGAGUCGUACAUACUAUGGAGAGUCAAAUUGUAUUAAACAGACCAAGUUUAAUAUACGUAGAUACGUAACACUCGUCAGAUACAAGAAGUGAGAACCAGUACAAUCUACAAAUUGUGAAUUAUAAUUUGUGUACUAGUUUUACCGUACGGAUCUAAGCGGUAUUUAUGAUCAAAGCAGUACUUAUAAAAAAAAUCACAAGCCCCAUAACUAAAACUACGACACCUCUAUCGUAGACAAAACCCGGCUACCUUCACACAGGUAAUUAUUCUACUACGUACUAGGGAACACCGAAGAUGACGUACUAAAGUUAUUUUAAGUUAAACAAUCGCUAAUCGAUCGAGCACUUGUCCCCACACACCUUCAAUCGAUAGAUGCACGGUCUUGGUGCUCAACCAAAGUCGAGAUCGGAUGGGGUUGAAUAAACACUGAUUGAUGACAUUCUCAUCUUCCACAUCGUCAUGUUUACUUCACGAUAGGACAUCGAAAAGAGAAAAAGGGUGCAACCAAAACAGGUUGUUACGGCUCUACUAAGUCAAAACCUCGAAAGCCGUGUUGUGACCACUUUCAAUUGAGAAUGACAACAAACACAGUAUGGUUUAACUCUCGAUACCGAAAUUACUGAAAAGGCGAUUAUUUAACAUAUAUGUUUAAUCAAACCGACUGCUUUAAGAAACGAGGUGUCCAUAGAUCCUAAUGCAAGGCCACCGACACUACGUCUUUACCCAACACGGGAACAUUACCAGUUGAAACAUUACUCAAGCAGGUAAAACCCGCGACACGAGUUGGGUCUUUAACCGGGAGACACUGAGCAUCCUGAAGUAGCUAAUUAAACAACGCUUAAAUGACAAAGGAUAGGUCAAGUACUUCUGGUACAGUCAAUUAGAAACUGAGUAAACGAGGAAGGUUCGUUCCGUUCGUUCAGUUGUGGACAGUCGACAGAUCAUGACAUGCAUCAUGAACGCACGCACGUCGUAAACGAAGCUUAGAGACGAAUACAAAACAGUCCAACUCUAAAGUUGAGACUUAGAGACGGAUACAAGACAGGGUACUACCUACAAGGGAAAAGAUAAACCA
rnacentral:rRNA from 1 species